CAGCUGUAAUUAAAACGCCCACCGUCUCUGUCUUUGAAUCAAUUAGUGACAUCCAACGUUUCCCAUGAUCCCUUUGGACAACAUUAAAGUAAGGGUAAUUAAUUUUCCAUUAAGAAGUGGGAUGUGAAAGUGUUGGUGGGAAAUGUAGCAGGGAUUUGUUUUUAUUUUUUCAAGGGGGAAAAAUUUCCUUUAUUGGACAUGACAGCUGAAGAGAGCAGAGAUUGGAGUAAAGUUUGCCAGGAGACAAACCUGCGGCCGAUGUGUGGAGAACUGUAGCCUCUGUUUAUGGAGCUCCUGCUCUACAGACUGAGCUAAACCAGUGCCCCAGAAAGAAUUGAAGAGCAGGGCAUGACUCCAGAAGAGGAGGGACUGAACACAGCGUGUUUUACUACCUCUGUCUUUUCAGGUUGCUAGGUGGAGAGACUGGUUUUCUACACAACACAGAUUUUCUGAAUCAAAGAAAUGUCUUUUAUCAGAAUCCACUUUAUUUGUGUGUGUGUUUGUGAGGACGUGGUUUUCCCAGUAGCACUCUGUGGCUCCCUCCUGAUUGCUGUUCAUUCCCUCCACCUGCUCAGUCCUGCACACCUGCUCUCCAUCAACUCUGCACUAUACCCCGGCUUUUCAUCCACUCAUCCCCAGAUUGUUGUUUCAGCUACUGCGCCUCCUGCCUUCCUGCUCAGCCAUCUGUAUUAACCUGCCCUCUGGAUUUAAAGCCACUCAAUCAGCCACGCUACCACCCAUACUCUGCUCUGGUCAGCCAUCUGAAAACCUCCAGAAUCAUCAACCCAUCUCCAUUUCCCUUUCUCUGCAAUAAACCUCAUUACCCCUCUUU